AGAGGCGUCCUCUCUCCGCGUUUCAGCCACCAGUCGUCACGACCUUACAGCGUGUUCAGCCCUGUCCUGAGCAUUUUAGGGGCGUUAUCUUAUUCAGCUUUCGCACAAUUCUGUGAAGUCCAUACCGUGUCGGUCCCGUUUGACAGAUGUGGAGACUGAUACCCAGGUACGCCGAAUCCCAAUUCCAGGUCACUCGGCUGGUAAGCGGUGGAGCUGGCCCCCGGGGCCUUUUGUCACAACUGUGGCUCCUGGUUAUGACUUCCGUAACCAUGGUGACAGUGUGCACCUGCCAUGAAAUGCACACACGGCCAUUUAUUUUUUCCAUCAGCCGUUGGAAAUCACACUCAUGUCAUGAACGAGGAGACCAAGGAGCCAGCCAGGCCCCUGGGCCUGGAGCAUCCGAGAACGGAAAAUAUGAGAACGCUGGCACCCGGCCAAGACACAUGGAUUAUUCAGACUGGCACAAGCUGGCUAGUGGGGCAGGGGAAGUGACUGGAAGGGGAAACUGAGACACGGGUGAGGUCCAAGCAGCCCUGGACAGCUUCAAAAAACUGCUUGCCACUUGAAAGGACAAGGAGACCAGCCUUGGAGACCCACGGGCUCCGGGUCCCGCCUCUGUGCCUCAGUUUCCUCCUCUGUGCACGGGAUGGGAAUUCGUUUUCUUCAAUGUGUGAGAGGACCCAUCAAGCUUUCAUGCGUGUAAAAUGCUUUGCAUGUAAAACUUCCUUUCCCUGGCUGCCCACA